UAGUUGCAAGGUAUAGACCCGAAACCCGGUGAUCUAGCCAUGGGCAGGUUGAAGGUUGGGUAACACUAACUGGAGGACCGAACCGACUAAUGUUGAAAAAUUAGCGGAUGACUUGUGGCUGGGGGUGAAAGGCCAAUCAAACCGGGAGAUAGCUGGUUCUCCCCGAAAUCUAUUUAGGUAGAGCCUUGAGGUGACACCUUUGGGGGUAGAGCACUGUUUCGGCUAGGGGUCCAUCCCGGAUUACCAACCCGAUGCAAACUACGAAUACCAAAGAGUGAUACUCAGGAGACACACGGCGGGUGCUAACGUCCGUCGUGGAGAGGGAAACAACCCAGACCGCCAGCUAAGGUCCCCAAGUCUAUAUUAAGUGGGAAACGAAGUGGGAAGGCUUAGACAGCUAGGAUGUUGGCUUAGAAGCAGCCAUCAUUUAAAGAAAGCGUAAUAGCUCACUAGUCGAGUCGGCCUGCGCGGAAGAUGUAACGGGGCUGAAAUAUAGCACCGAAGCUGCGGCAUCAGGCGUAUCACUAAUACGCCUUACGAUUAACAAGCUAGAAUGGCGCGAAGCGGCAUGAAAGGUUGUUCAAGCAACCCGAACGUUGAGUCGGGGUAUUUUUGAAGUAAGGAUUAUUAGUGAUACGCCUGUUGGGUAGGGGAGCGUUGUGUAAGCGGAUGAAGGUUAAUCGAGAGGUUAGCUGGACGUAUCACAAGUGCGAAUGCUGACAUAAGUAACGAUAAAACGGGUGAAAAACCCGUUCGCCGGAAGACCAAGGGUUCCUGUCCAACGUUAAUCGGGGCAGGGUGAGUCGGCUCCUAAGGCGAGGCUGAAAAGCGUAGUCGAUGGGAAACAGGUUAAUAUUCCUGUACUUGGUAAAGCUGCGAUGUGGGGACGGAGUAGGUUAGGUUAUCGCACUGUUGGAUAUGUGCGUUUAAGUUGGUAGGUGGGAAGUUUAG
rnacentral:rRNA from 1 species